CCUAUCUAAAUUAGCUAAACAAUUAAAACCAGAAAAAUCUAUUUUCUAUUGAAUAUUAAAUAGUUGUUUCAAUAAUUGCCUCUUGCGAGUGUUGAUGUGACCAUAUAGAGAUUUGUUCCACCCUUGUAGAUUCUUAGUGAACUGAACGAGUGCAUCAGACAUGUUACCAUUAAAUCUCCAAUUUUCUUGUACAAAAUCAUCAAAUUUUGGAUGCUCAACCUACCUUGCCAAGAAGUGAAAAAGUCGUCCUCCCCUAGGCAAAUUGAUCUCUGGCCCUAUAGAGAAAAAAAAAGGCCUAUGGUCAGAUUUAAUUUUUGAGAGAUGUGUUACAAGCUAUUGGGAAAAAAGUUUAUCCAAGAUCAUUACCCAAUGCUCGGUCUAAUCUUUCAAAAAGACCACAUCUAUACAAAGUAAAUGGUGGCCUCCUAAAACCCAAGUCAUGUAAACCACCUCAAUCCAUAAAAUCAACGAAGUAAGGGCACCUCCUCCCACUAGACAAAUUGCCUUUUUUUCUUAGUAGGGGAUAGAAUGGCGUUGAAGUCUCCAAUCACCAUUCAAGGAACUAAACUCGUAGGAAUAAACUAUCUCAACUCCUUCCACAUGCAAUUUCACUUCUUUCGAUCUUGGCUACCAUAAGUAAAAGACAUUAAAAUCGACGUUAAGGAUCGAUAGGAAUGUACCUGUACCACAAUAAAUUGGGGGUGAUUCCACAGCACCUCAACCUGAACCGAAUCCUUUCAGCCAAGCUAGAUACCCUAGCGAAACCUAUCGCUUCCACUCUGUGAGACUUUUGAAAACCCAAUUUCACAUUAAUAAUUUCUGCUUUUACUCCACUAACCUUGGUUUCAAGUAAGCUAACAAUAUCCAACUUAUAUUUCAUAUUAUACUAAUGAAAAAUAUGGGAGAAUUUUUAACUAGCACAGCCUUGGCAAUUCGAAGAAAAAAUUGAGAUAUUCAUGAAUAAAAAAACAACAAAUAGAGGAAAUACCAUUACUGUUGAAAAGCUAAAAAUCCUUCCUCUCAU
rnacentral:lncRNA from 1 species